CCAUCAGAUUUCAUGAGACUUUUUCACUACCAUAUGAACAGUAUGGGGGACACCGCCCCCAUGAUUCAAUUAUCUCCCACCAGGUCCUUCCCACAAUACAUGGGAAUUAUGGGAGCUAAAAUUCAAGAUGAUAUUUGGGUGGGGACACAGACAAAUUAUAUAAUCUUUAUUGAGGUUUAAUUUACAUCUUAAGAUUCACUUAGGUGAACAAUUCAAUGAUUACUAUUAAAUUGACAGAGUUGUACAAUCCUUAACACAAUACAGGUUUUAGAAUAUUUCCAUCAUUCCAGAAUAUCCCUCAUACCCAUUUAUAGUCACUACUGACUCCUACCUCCAAGAACCAGGCAAAUGCUCAUCUGCUUUCUAUGUCUAUAGAUUUGUCAUUUCUGGACAUUUCACAUAAAUGGAAUCAUAGAAUAUGUAGUCAUUUGCAUCUGGUUUGUUUAAUCAGGCAUCAGGUUUUUUAGAUUUACCCAUGCUGCAGUAUGUAUCCAUAGCAUAUUUGUUUGUAAUGUAAAAUAGUAUUCCAUGGUAUGGAUAUAACAUCAUUGGCUUAUCUUUUCACCAAUUGAUGGGCAUUCAGAUUGUUUCUAUUUUUUGGUUAAUAUGACUAAUGCUGCCACAAGCAUUCACAUGCAAGUCUUUACACAGACAUGUUUUCAUUUCUCUUGGGUAGAUAUUUAGGGAUAGAAUUCUUGGGUCAUAUGGUAAAUUUAUGCUUAUCUGCUGAAGAAAUUGUCAAGCUAUUGUGAAAAGCAGCUGCAUGAUUUUACAAUCCCAUCAACAACGUCUAGGGUUCUAGUUUCUCCUAAGGAGUUUUAACGAGACGCAUAAUAUGGCUAGAUUUGUGCUUUAGGUAAAUCAAUCUGGUAGCUACUAAAAAUGAGACUGAAAAUAAUGAGCCUGUUUAGGAAGAUGUUGCAAUAGUCUAGCUGAGAUCUCUACUACGAUUCCCAACUAGACCAUUGGAGGAGAAGAUUAUCUCAGAAGAAGAACAAUGCUGCUGAAUAAGAACAGGUGAUUUGCUUCCAUCAGUUGCUCAGCCUUGGGAACGUGACUCACGGUGGUGUGAGGACAAAGCAGGUACCUGUCCGCCAGCCAGAUUAGCUGAGGAAAAUACACUUCAGACUCAACAUAACCAAUACCUGCCUUUCAAGGAAAACUCAUAUGGGGCUCACUGAUGAAACAAAGCGAGUUUGCAAAAAAAGAUUCGACAUAGUCAAUUCUUUGUACUCUUCAGUGAUGGUAGCUGCCUUAGUGGAAAAUGUGGAAAAUUACAGAUUGGGGCCUAAUCAGUUACAUAAAAAAAGAAAGAAGAGAGGAGACAAGAGAAGAAAAGAGAAGAGAAGAGAAGAGAAGAGAAGAGAAGAGAAGAGAAGAGAAGAGAAGAGAAGAGAAGAGAAAAGAAAGGAAAAGAAAAGAAAACAAAAGAAAGGAAAUUACCACGAAACCAGUCCUGGAAAAUGUAAAAUGUUACUUGCAUCAUCAUGUGAAAAAGCUCAAAAGAUGGAAAAAUAUUUUCUAAGUACAUUAUUUGGACAUAAGUAUCUUCCAAU
rnacentral:lncRNA from 1 species